rnacentral:rRNA from 1 species
UAAGUUACUAAGAGCACACGGGGGAUGCCUAGGCUCUCAAAGGCGAAGAAAGACGUGAUAAGCUGCGAUAAGGUUCGGGGAGAAGCAAAUAUUUUGUGAUCCGGACAUUUCUGAAUGGGGAAACCCGUCUGGUUGAAGACCAGUCAUCCGAAAGGAGGCAAACGCACUGAACUGAAACAUCUAAGUAGGUGCAGGAAGAGAAAACAAUAGUGAUUUCCGUAGUAGCGGCGAGCGAAGUGGAAAUAGCCCAAACCGUUUUUGUUUCGGCAAAAUCGGGGUUGUAGGACUACAAUAUCCGUAAUAAAGUAUAGUGGAACAAGUUGGAAAGCUUGGCAAUAUGAGUGAUAGCCUCGUACACGAAAUGCUUUAGAAGGUAGUAGUAUCCUGAGUAGGGCGGGACAUGUGAAAUCCUGUCUGAAUCUGCCAGAACCAUCUGGUAAGGCUAAAUACUCUUGAGAGACCGAUAGCGAACUAGUACCGUGAGGGAAAGGUGAAAAGAACCCUGAAUAAGGGAGUGAAAUAGAUCCUGAAACCAUACGCUUACAAGCGGUCGGAGCAGCGUAAGUUGUGACGGCGUGCCUUUUGCAUAAUGAGCCUACGAGUUACCGUUGCUAGCAAGGUUAAGUGAUUAAGUCACGGAUCCGUAGCGAAAGCGAGUCUGAAUAGGGCGUUUUAGUUAGUAGUGGUAGACGCGAAACCGUGUGAUCUACCCAUGGGCAGGGUGAAGCUGUAGUAACAUACAGUGGAGGCCCGAACCGAUAUACGUUGAAAAGUGUUCGGAUGACCUGUGGGUAGGGGUGAAAGGCCAAUCAAACUCGGAAAUAGCUCGUACUCCCCGAAAUGCAUUUAGGUGCAGCGUUGAUUUAUAGUUUUAUAGAGGUAGAGCUACUGAUUGGAUGCGGGGGCUUCACCGCCUACCAAUUCCUGACAAACUCCGAAUGCUAUAAAAUGUUAAUCAGCAGUGAGGGCAUGGGUGCUAAGGUCCAUGUCCGAAAGGGAAAGAACCCAGACCAUCAGCUAAGGUCCCCAAAUAUAUGUUAAGUUGAAUAAACGAGGUUGAACUGCUUUGACAGCUAGGAUGUUGGCUUGGAAGCAGCCAUUCAUUUAAAGAGUGCGUAACAGCUCACUAGUCGAGCGGUUCAGCAUGGAUAAUAAUCGGGCAUAAACAUAUUACCGAAGCUAUGGACUUGAAAAAGUGGUAGGGGAGCAUUGUAGUGGCGUUGAAGGUGUGUUGUGAGGCAUGCUGGAGUAGCUACAAAAGAAAAUGUAGGCAUAAGUAACGAUAAUGCGGGCGAGAAACCCGCACUCCGAAAGACUAAGGUUUCCUCAGCUAUGCUAAUCAGCUGAGGGUUAGUCGGGGCCUAACGCGAACCCGAAAGGGGUAGUGGAUGGAUAACAGGUUAAUAUUCCUGUACCUGCUCAUACUAAAAGUGACGGAGGCGAAAAGUUAGUGCGCACAGACGGAAUUGUGCGUUAAAGAGAGUGGUAACACCUUGAUAGUACACUAAGACUACGGUCGCGGUGAUAAUCUAGCAAAUCGACUUCCAAGAAAAGCGAAUGAAGCAGCCCGUACCCUAAACCGACACAGGUAGUUGGGAUGAGAAUUCUAAGGAGCUCGAGAGAUUCAUGGCUAAGGAACUAGGCAAAAUAGACCUGUAACUUCGGGAGAAAGGUCGCCACCCUUUGGGGUGGCCGCAGUGAAAAGGUCCAGGCGACUGUUUAUCAAAAACACAGGGC